UGGGGAAUUUUGGACAAUGGGCGAAAGCCUGAUCCAGCAAUGCCGCGUGUGUGAAGAAGGCCUUCGGGUUGUAAAGCACUUUUGUCCGGAAAGAAAUCCUUGGCUCUAAUACAGUCGGGGGAUGACGGUACCGGAAGAAUAAGCACCGGCUAACUAUGUGCCAGCAGCCGCGGUAAUACGUAGGGUGCAAGCGUUAAUCGGAAUUACUGGGCGUAAAGCGUGCGCAGGCGGUUUGCUAAGACCGAUGUGAAAUCCCCGGGCUCAACCUGGGAACUGCAUUGGUGACUGGCAGGCUAGAGUAUGGCAGAGGGGGGUAGAAUUCCACGUGUAGCAGUGAAAUGCGUAGAGAUGUGGAGGAAUACCGAUGGCGAAGGCAGCCCCCUGGGCCAAUACUGACGCUCAUGCACGAAAGCGUGGGGAGCAAACAGGAUUAGAUACCCUGGUAGUCCACGCCCUAAACGAUGUCAACUAGUUGUUGGGGAUUCAUUUCCUUAGUAACGUAGCUAACGCGUGAAGUUGACCGCCUGGGGGAGUACGGUCGCAAAGAUUAAAACUCAAAUGAAUUGACGGGGUCAUAGCUGUUUCCU
rnacentral:rRNA from 1 species